rnacentral:rRNA from 1 species
GAUGAACGCUGGCGGCGUGCCUAAUACAUGCAAGUCGAGCGAACGGACGAGAAGCUUGCUUCUCUGAUGUUAGCGGCGGACGGGUGAGUCACACGUGGAUAACCUACCUAUAAGACUGGGAUAACUUCGGGAAACCGUAGCUAAUACCGGAUAAUAUUUUGAACCGCAUGGUUCAAAAGUGAAAGACGGUCUUGCUGUCACUUAUAGAUGGAUCCGCGCUGCAUUAGCUAGUUGGUAAGGUAACGGCUUACCAAGGCAACGAUGCAUAGCCGACCUGAGAGGGUGAUCGGCCACACUGGAACUGAGACACGGUCCAGACUCCUACGGGAGGCAGCAGUAGGGAAUCUUCCGCAAUGGGCGAAAGCCUGACGGAGCAACGCCGCGUGAGUGAUGAAGGUCUUCGGAUCGUAAAACUCUGUUAUUAGGGAAGAACAUAUGUGUAAGUAACUGUGCACAUCUUGACGGUACCUAAUCAGAAAGCCACGGCUAACUACGUG